GACAGAGGGGGCAAGCGUUGUUCGGAAUUACUGGGCGUAAAGGGCGCGUAGGCGGCCUGCUAAGUCGAACGUGAAAUCCCCGGGCUUAACCCGGGAACUGCGUCCGAUACUGGCUGGCUUGAAUCCGGGAGAGGGAUGCGGAAUUCCAGGUGUAGCGGUGAAAUGCGUAGAUAUCUGGAGGAACACCGGUGGCGAAGGCGGCAUCCUGGACCGGUAUUGACGCUGAUGCGCGAAAGCCAGGGGAGCAAACGGG
rnacentral:rRNA from 1 species